GGAGCUGUUUUCUCUGAAGUUUUCGGAUGGAAGAGAGUUCAGCUUAGUGGCGAACGGGUGAGUAACACGUGAGCAACCUGCCUUUCAGUGGGGGACAACAUUUGGAAACGAAUGCUAAUACCGCAUAAGACCACAGUGUCGCAUGGCACAGGGGUCAAAGGAUUUAUCCGCUGAAAGAUGGGCUCGCGUCCGAUUAGCUAGAUGGUGAGGUAACGGCCCACCAUGGCGACGAUCGGUAGCCGGACUGAGAGGUUGAACGGCCACAUUGGGACUGAGACACGGCCCAGACUCCUACGGGAGGCAGCAGUGGGGAAUAUUGCACAAUGGGGGAAACCCUGAUGCAGCGACGCCGCGUGGAGGAAGAAGGUCUUCGGAUUGUAAACUCCUGUCCCAGGGGACGAUAAUGACGGUACCCUGGGAGGAAGCACCGGCUAACUACGUGCCAGCAGCCGCGGUAAAACGUAGGGUGCAAGCGUUGUCCGGAAUUACUGGGUGUAAAGGGAGCGCAGGCGGAUUGGCAAGUUGGGAGUGAAAUCUAUGGGCUCAACCCAUAAAUUGCUUUCAAAACUGUCAGUCUUGAGUGGUGUAGAGGUAGGCGGAAUUCCCGGUGUAGCGGUGGAAUGCGUAGAUAUCGGGAGGAACACCAGUGGCGAAGGCGGCCUACUGGGCACUAACUGA
rnacentral:rRNA from 1 species